rnacentral:lncRNA from 1 species
GUGUGAGACCUGUAGCGGACAUAGAGGCUCGAGUGUAGUAUCGUGAAGUGCGGUUUCGAUUCAGCCGGGAGUGAGUUGGCAAGUAGCACUUCAGCGCUAAGUGUGAAGCGAGGCCAUGAUACUACCGUAGGUGGUGGCUGCACUAGGUGCCUAGAAGCGUUAGAGUGCUGUAGGCUCUGAGAGCAAUGUGUGUAGGACGACGUUGGCCUGGGGUAGUGUUGGGGACGACCGUGCAUUGGACCCUUAUUAGGACUGUGGAGCCUGAGCCCAUUGGGCAGGCACAGUCAGCUGUGAGUGACAGCGCCCCGAUACCUACGGGUAGGGCAGAGAGUUUUGGUCAGGACGGUAGUCCGAGCUUAGAUCUGGGAGCGUGGAAUGCCACGUGUUAGAUCGUGAGAUUGAUGACACCGAGUGUGUAGUGACCCAACCCGAGGACUUGACGUGGUUUGGAGUCUUGGUUGCUCCUGGUUGGAGUGUGUGCGAAUUCUCCAAUGAGAGUGUCGCCCGAUGAUGAUUGGGUCUACGAAGCGAACGAGAGGCGCUAUGCGUAGUUGCGACAGGUUGGGCUGUAAGCCUACGUAGGACUGGUGACCUAUGGUUCACCAAUGAGAUCGAGGUAAACGGUAGGCGGGUGGCCUUAUCGACGAGUUUAAGCUUGAAUUCACGAACAGGAGUUCGUAUGAAUUCGUUGCAAGAGCGAUGUUAGUCGUGGCUGUAGUAUCAAAGGAUAAGGAGAGAAAGUAAAGUGGUCUCUGGGAGACACUUGAGUAAUGAAUAGCCACGUGAGGAUUGAAGCUUGAGGAAAUUGCUCUUCUAUGGAUUGAGAUUCGAGAUGUGCUGAGUGGGCUAUCUCGUGAUGGAACAAGGAUCUAGUCGAGGAUUGAAGCACUCGCGAUUGGUCGAUGCAUCAACGAAAUUGCCUCUGAGCAAUGCCGGUGAUCGAAUCGGAGUGAAAUUUCUCGAUUGGGUGUAUAAUGCAAAGAGCAGUUCCUUACAUGGUGGUAAUACACUUUUGGACUUGCACAUAACAAAUGUGAGCAUAUCCAGUCUCACAUCCUCCGAGGUGGGCCUUUGAACAGUCCAAUAAGUGAAAGGCCACUCCGAGGUGGGAAAGUGCAUUGGAAUUUUCGAUUGCUCGAUAAACCGAGUUGGAGUAUCGAUUGGGUUGAAGUGAGUUAGUUUCGAGGACGAAACUCUUUUAAGGAGGGGAGAAUGUAAGGUACCGGACUUCUAAAAUCAUGAGGUUACGGUGUCCAUUUGGUUGGAGAGCCAUUUGAAUGGUUCCGGUAAGGUUGCGGUGUAAUGUAAUAUACCGGAUUUAAAUAUAAUAAAUAAAAAUAAAUAAAAAUAGUAUGAGAUACUAUUUUUAUUGGAUUUGGAGAAGUGAAAUAUGAGUUAGAAAUGACUUGUGCUGAAAUCGGAAUGAAAACAGAAGAUUUAGAAUUUUCUGUGAGAGACGGGACAGGUAAAUUAGCAGAAAAUGCACAGUCUCAGAAAAUUAUGAAAAUUGGAGGAUAAGUCAGAAAUAUUUUUAUGAGGCUAGAUUUGAGGUUUCAUAUUUUUCUGACACCCGUAGAGUGAGAAAUAAAAUCCGAAAGCUAUCUGAUAAAGAUUGCAGUUCGGCACAGUUUUUGGUGACCAAACGGGGUCGAAGCUGGAAACUUAAGAUAUAUUCUUACUCAGUACGUUAAACCGAGACUACCUGUCAAAUUUGAGCGCAAACGGACAUUCAGAAGGGUUCCGACGGAACUUAUCAGAUUUGAGGGACUAAACUGAAAAGUGGAAUAGUUGAGGGGGCUGCUUGUGGAAAAGAGCAUUGCUCUUCUUCUCCUCCCUCAACCUGCGUACACAACCAGCACACACACACACACACAACACACGCAUGGAGGGGAAAAGAGAGAAAUCUCUUUCUCUCUCUAGAUUUCUCCCGAAGAGAGAGGAUUUUGGUGGAGGUUGAUGCUCAAGGAUGGAUUUUCAUCUUCUCCAACUUCUUCCUCUCCAUUGGAGCAUGCUUUGAAGGUAAGCUUCAAAACCCUUUAAUGGUAUCUCUUUGUAGUUUGGGUUUUAAGCUUCAAGAAUGGAUUUAGAGUUAUUCUAGCAUGCUAAAUAGAUGAUUAUUGCUAGAAUCUAGGAUCAAUUUAGUGAUUUAUUGCCUAGUUGUAACCUAGGGCUCUAAAGUGCAAGUUUUGCUACUAGUAGGGUUUGAUCUCAUUUAACCCUCUGUAAACCUAAUUGAUAGGUCACUGAACGCGUUGGAAGCGACGGUUCGGCGNUUGCUUGGGUUUUAAGCUCUAGAAACGAAUUAGUAGCUUUCCUAGAUGCUAAGUAGAUGAUUUAUGCUUAGAUCCUAAGUUCUAAUGGUGGAUUUUUACCUAUUGCAACAUAGAGCUCCAAAAUGAGGGCUUUAAUGGUAGAUCUCUAAAGAUAGGUCUAAAUGCUUUGGAAAUGGUUUUAGUGGAACCCAUUGAUGCCUAAUAGAUGGUUAAUGCUUGAAUCAUAGAGCAAUUUAAUGAUUUCUUGCAUAGUUGUAAACCUAGGGCUCAAAAUGCUAACUUUCAAAAUAUGAGGGUUUGAUCUCUUUUAACCCUCUGUUUACCUAAUUGCUAGGUCUACGAACGCGUUGGAAGCGACGGUUCGGCGAUUCGUUGAGCCGGUACAAAGAUAUUAAAGAAACGGACGUUAGGCUUCGUUUCCGCCUGGAGGGCCGAGGCGACGUCGUAAAAUCCUGAAAACGGAUUUGAAGCAUCGUACCAAGAAACCGAAGACCUUUAAUUUUCAGAUUGCGGAUCGGAGGUCGUUUGGUGGUCGCGCGCGGAUUGGGUCAAGCCGAGCGGCGUGCGCCGCGGGAGGCCGAUUGCAAGUGACGACAAGCAAUCGGAACGCGAUAAAAGGUGGGGGAGUGCCAUCCCGAAGUCAUCGGGCUUCUUCCUAUGUCUUAGUAUUUAUCCGUUCACAUGUAGCAUAUUGUAUGUUGCUAUGCAUUAUAGGAUGACAAUACAUGCAUUCCUAAUCCUUAUAUGAUGUUUAUGAUCAAUAUAGUAUUAUGAUAUGGAUAUAUGAUGUGAUGGACAUAAGGAUUAUGAGGUGACAUUGGUAAACCUAUGAUGCUAAAUGAAAGAAGAACCUAGUGUUGUGUUUAAAGACAUAGUUUACAAGUGGCAUUGAACUCAUUGUGCUAAAAACACAUAUGACUUGAACUAGUAAUGGAUUGGUUGUUGUACUAGAAACUCUAGUAACAUUGAUCAAGUUGCAUAUUGGGAUAUUGCAUUAUAGGGUACUAGUUGGCAAUUGUUACAUGUCAUGGCAUGCUAGUGAGAGUGUAGUGUUACUUGAUUAAUACUUGUACCUAGUAUGCAUGAGAUUGGGACUUAGUGUGGUGAAACCCUAUAAGGGCAUGAUUAAUGUGGGUUAAACUUGUUGAGUGCAUUAAUCGAUUAAGUUGCAUAUUGUAUUUAUUGCACUUAGGUGCUAGAUGAUUAUGGUCAUUGCUCAUAUUUGCAUGCUAGUAGCUAUACAUCUUGAUGAUUGUUCCAUGAUCUAGUAUGCAUGAUGAUUACAUGAUGAAAACCCUACAAUGAGAACCUAGACCCUAUAUGUGAGAUGAUUAAUGCUUAUAUUGCUAAAGAACUAGUAUGAUGUAACUAGUGUUGAAAUGAGUCUAAAUGACGAGUGGCAUCUAGUUUAGAAAACUAUGAUGAGUGGCAUGUGAUUGUUGAUAACCUUGACAUGAGAACCUUAGUGUAGUUGAAACACUAUGAGAUUGGGUACAAGAACACCUUGAUUCCAUGAUGAGAUUACCCUUAGAGGGUAGGUUGCUGUUGCUCGUGAGAUGAUCACGCUUACAUUGCCUGUCUGCGCUUGGUGGGGUCGCUCCCCCCAGGUUGUGCGCUCCGGAGUUUGGUCACUAGAGAGGCAGCCGUGCUCGCUGCUCGGAUAGCCGCUUGUUAUCCGCAGGCGUACUCGGGGAUAGUCCAGCUCGACAUCCCUAGGAGAUUGAUAUGUGAGCCUUGCUUGUGAACCACGAGUUCACCUUGAGAUUGGGUUACCUAUUGAGCCAUACCCAUUAUUGUUGUUCAUGAUAGCUUGCUUCCAUAGUUGUUGUUGUUGUUGUUCAUAGUAGCUUACUAGUGUUCAUAGUAGCUUACUUAUUGCUCAUGCCUUCAUGAUAUACUAUUCCUUCACCUAUGAGAUUUGAGUACCUAUUGAGUCAUACUCAUUAUUGUUGUUCAUGAUAGCUUGUUUCCAUAGUUGUUGUUGUUGUUCACCUUUGAGAUAUGAGUCGAGUAGACCAGAAUGAGGUAGCUUUUCACCUACUAGAUUUGAGAUCUUAGGCAAAGUAGCCUAGCGGAUUGGGUAAUAACAUGAAUAGCAUAAGAGUAUUGCAUUCAUACCAUGAUUAGACAUAGUGCAUUGCAUAACUAUGUUAUAGUUGUAUUCAUUUCACUGUUGAGGCAUAUUAGCAUGAUAGUAGAUUGUUGCUAGAUGAUGUUCCAUGCAUACUUUGCAUUUGAUGGCAUAGUAGAUAUAGUAGUAGUAUUUCCAUAUAUCUUUCUAUCUAUCUAUCUGUGCCAGCUUGGACCUAGUGGGAAGAUCGGCGGAGUCGGCGGCCGAACCCACUGGGAACUAUAUUUAUAUAGUUCUCACCCCGUGUGGUUUUGGGGUACAGGUACACAUGAGAGCGGAUCGACAGAGGAUCGCAGUUU